rnacentral:lncRNA from 12 species
CAGCGGACGGAGCCGGGUCCCCCGGGUCCCCGGGGCCGAGCACAGGUCCCAAGUGCUCAGCGGCCGAGCGACGGGGCUCCACGGGAGGGACACCCGUGAGCGCAGCGGGGGCGGGAGCGGCGGGGUGAGGGCCCACGCGGAAGCGCUCGCCCGCGGGGGGCGUGACCCCAGGCCCCCAGCCCGCGCGCUCCGGACCCUCGCUCUCCCGCCGUGGAUGCCCGCGGCCGCCGCGAAGCCUCAGUAUCCAGGAAGAGCGAGGCGCGCCGGGAAGGGCGGGCGCAAACUGCAACUCCCAGGAGGCUUUGCGGAGGCGGGCGCUUGCCUCCGGCCAAUAGGGACGAAGGGGCGGGGCCACGGAGGGCGCGCCGCGGGCUGAUUGGCUGGGGGCGCGGGGGCAGGGCCACGGAGGGCGCGCUUAGGGCGGACCGGCCGGGGGCUCCGAGGGCUCCGGAGGGCGCGUGUCGGGGCCGCGGUCAUGGAGGCAACUGGCGGCGGCUUCCGGAAGGAGUGCCUCCGCCCAGGGGCGGGAGCACAAGACCACCCUGGAUCCCGCGGACUGGAGCCCAGACAGCAGCAGGUGGGCGCCUGGACUGCUCCCGCCUGUCCCCUCCACGUGCCAGACUUCUGAUCCUGGAGGCAUCUCGGGGCUUCUCACUGCCCAGUCCCCCACCCUGGGAGAGGCCACACGGACGGAGGACCUUUCCAGCAACCAGAACUAAAUGCCUGAGGGGUCUGGCAGGCAGGGUGCCAUGCGGGCCACUGACCUCGCUCCCCCACCCCUUUCCUCCCACCCCCAGGAACUGUCAGCGGGGAUGCGCUUCGGCUCAUGGCGGAGCUGCUAACCAUCUUCGUUGUGGAAGCGGCUAUCCGCAGCGUCCGACAGGCCCAGGCAGAGGACCUGGCUC